rnacentral:lncRNA from 1 species
AAAUCAACAGAGUUGUUAAAGAAGGAGACUGUAUUUCUGUAUUCUUAUAGACUUAAGUGCAAAAUCACGGCCCACAGAACCCAAAUAGUGGACUCCACUCUUGUUUGAUGAACUACUGCAUCCCUGCGGGUGUGGUUAGAGUAUGAUGUAAAGUUACUUUCACAAGUAUGUUGUUUUUUUUUUUUCAGAUAAAGAUCAGUUGAUUACUUUCUUCGCAUUUGUUAUGAAAUACUAGUCUUCCAUUAUGUUGAUAUACUAGGAACACCUUCAUCUUGCUAGCAUUGAAUGCCAGGAGAUCUGCUUGCCUAAGCUAUCAGCUGACAUUGGGUUUCAAGUAAGUCAUCUGAGCAUAUAUUCCUCAAUCAUAAGCAUAACGAGGGGAUACUUGGUUGUAACGUAUCCAGAUGUUGUG